rnacentral:rRNA from 1 species
CGUAGAUAUCGGGAAGAACACCAGUGGCGAAGGCGCUCUGCUGGGCCAUUACUGACGCUCAUGGACGAAAGCCAGGGGAGCGAAAGGGAUUAGAUACCCCUGUAGUCCCUGGCCGUAAACGAUGAACACUAGGUGUCGGGGGAAUCGACCCCUUUCGGUGUCGUAGCUAACGCGUUAAGUGUUCCGCCUGGGGAGUACGCACGUAAGUGUGAAACUCAAAGGAAUUGACGGGGGCCCGCACAAGCGGUGGAGUAUGUGGUUUAAUUCGAUGCAACGCGAAGAACCUUACCAGGGUUUGACAUCCUGCGAACCUCUUAGAAAUUUGAGGGUGCCUUCGGGAAUGCAGUGACAGGUGGUGCAUGGCUGUCGUCAGAUCGUGUCGUGAGAUGUUGGGUUAAGUCCCGCAACGAGCGCAACCCACGUUUUUAGUUGCCAGCAUUUAGUUGGGCACUCUAGAAAGACCGCCGGUGAUAAACCGGAGGAAGGUGUGGAUGACGUCAAGUCAUCAUGCCCCUUACACCCUGGGCUACACACGUACUACAAUGCUACGGACAAAGGGCAGCAAACUCGCGAGAGCUAGCAAAUCCCAUAAACCGUGGCUCAGUUCAGAUCGUAGGCUGCAACUCGCCUACGUGAAGUAGGAAUCGCUAGUAAUCGCAGGUCAGCAUACUGCGGUGAAUACGUUCCCGGGCCUUGUACACACCGCCCGUCACACCAUGGAAGUUGGCCAUGCCCGAAGUCGUUACUCCAACCCUUGU